rnacentral:rRNA from 1 species
UACGUAGGGGGCGAGCGUUGUCCGGAAUCAUUGGGCGUAAAGCGCGUGUAGGCGGCCCGGUAAGUCCGCUGUGAAAGUCCAGGGCUCAACCCUGGGAUGCCGGUGGAUACUGUCGGGCUCGAGUCCGGAAGAGGCGAGUGGAAUUCCUGGUGUAGCGGUGAAAUGCGCAGAUAUCAGGAGGAACACCAAUGGCGAAGGCAGCUCGCUGGGACGUGACUGACGCUGAGACGCGAAAGCGUGGGUAGCAAACAGG